rnacentral:misc_RNA from 1 species
UCUCCGUUGGUGAACCAGCGGAGGGAUCAUUACAGAGUUUUCACAACGCCCAACCCUUGCGAGCCGUACCCAUUCUGUUCUCGUUGCUUCCGGCGGGCCCUACGAACCUUGCUAUCUAAACCACCAGUAAACGUCUGAGAAAACAAACAAAAUAAUCAAAACUUUCAACAACGGAUCUCUUGGCUCUG